rnacentral:tRNA from 1 species
GUCGGCGUGGCAGAGCUCGGUUAUUGCUAAAGAUCUAAAUCCUUUUUACGGAGGUUCAAACCCUCCCGCCGACU